GACGAACGCUGGCGGCGUGCUUAACACAUGCAAGUCGAACGGAAAGGCCCUGCUUGCAGGGUACUCGAGUGGCGAACGGGUGAGUAACACGUGGGUGAUCUGCCCUGCACUUCGGGAUAAGCUUGGGAAACUGGGUCUAAUACCGGAUAGGACCGCACUUUAGUGUGUGUGGUGGAAAGUUUUUUCGGUGUAGGAUGAGCUCGCGGCCUAUCAGCUUGUUGGUGGGGUAAUGGCCUACCAAGGCGGCGACGGGUAGCCGGCCUGAGAGGGUGUACGGCCACAUUGGGUCUGACAUGCGGCCGAGACGCCUAAGGGAGGAAGCAGUGGGGAAGAUUGAACAAUGGGCGCAAGCCGGAUGCAGCGACGCCGCGGGGGGGAUGAAGGCUUUCGGGUUGUAAACUCCUUUCGCUAGGGACGAAGCUUUUUGUGACGGUACCUAGAUAAGAAGCACCGGCUAACUACGUG
rnacentral:rRNA from 1 species